CGCGCAGGCGGCCAGGUAAGUCGAAUGUGAAAGCCCCCGGCUCAACUGGGGAGGGUCAUUCGAUACUGCUUGGCUUGAAGGUAGGAGAGGGAAGCGGAAUUUCAGGUGUAGUGGUGAAAUGCGUAGAUAUCUGAAGGAACACCAGUGGCGAAGGCGGCUUUCUGGCCUAUUCUUGACGCUGAGGCGCGAAAGCUAGGGGAGCGAACG
rnacentral:rRNA from 1 species